UGCAACCGCAUUAUUAUUAACUCGAAUAAUACGGAGGCGGUCGACACCAUGAAGGAAGGAGGAUGAUCGUCGGCAGCAAUUUUUUAUGAUUGUUUUCAUUUAGCUUGUGAUUUUUCCAUUUUUAGAUUUGAGCAUUGUAAUAGAGAAGCAAAUAAAGUCGCUCAUGAACUUGCCAAACUAGCUAGAUUUUCUUUCAUUUCUGAAUGGUUCGAGGAGCCAAAUAGUGAUAUGCUACCAAUCCUCAUAAAUGAUGUAAUGGUUAUUUCUAAUGAAUAA
rnacentral:rRNA from 1 species